rnacentral:rRNA from 1 species
AUUGAACGCUAGCGGGAUGCUUUACACAUGCAAGUCGAACGAGCGGCGGACGGGUGAGUAAUAUCUCGGAAAGUGCCCAGUGGCGGGGGCUAACUACUCGAACCAGUAGCUAAUACCGCAUACUAUUGGAUCGGCCCAUAUUGGAUUAGCUAGUUGGUGGGGUAAAGGCUCACCAAGGCAACGAUCCGUAGCUGGUCUGAGAGGAAGACCAGCCACACUGGAACUGAGACACGGCCCAGACUCCUACGGGAGGCAGCAGUGGGGAAGUUUGGACAAUGGGGGAAACCCUGAUCCAGCCAUCCCGCGUGUAUGAGAAGGCCUUCGGGUUGUAAAGUACUUUUGGCAGAGAAGCGGUAUCUGCAGAAUAAGCACCGGCUAACUACGUGCCAGCAGCCGCGGUAAUUC